rnacentral:rRNA from 1 species
UACGUAGGCAGCAAGCGUUGUUCGGAGUUACUGGGCGUAAAGGGUGUGUAGGCGGUUCUUUAAGUUUGUCGUGAAAUCUCCCGGCUCAACCGGGAGGGUGCGGCGAAUACUGAGGAGCUAGAGUGCGGGAGAGGAGGGUGGAAUUCCUGGUGUAGCGGUGAAAUGCGUAGAUAUCAGGAGGAACACCGGUGGUGUAAACGGCUCUCUGGACCGUAACUGACGCUGAGACACGAAAGCGUGGGUAGCAAACAGG